rnacentral:rRNA from 1 species
AUUGAACGCUGGCGGCAGGCCUAACACAUGCAAGUCGAGCGAGCGGAGGAGGGGUGAGUAAUGUCUGGGAAAAUGCCUGAUGGAGGGGGAUAACUACUGGAAAAGGUAGCUAAUACGGCAUACCAUCCGAUGUGGGCAGAUGUGAUUUGCUAUUAGUUGGGGUAACGGCUCACAUAGGCGACGAUCCCUAGCUGGUCUGAGAGGAUGAUCAGCCACACUGGAACUGAGACACGGUCCAGACUGCUACGGGAGGCAGCAGUGGGGAAUAGUGCGCAAUGGACGCAAGUGGUAUGGAGCCAUGCGGCGUGUGUGAAGAAGGCUUUCGGGUGGUAAAGCACUUUCAGCGGGGAGGCGUUACCAGAAGAAGAAGCACCGGCUAACUACGUGCCAGCAGCCGCGGUAAUUC